rnacentral:rRNA from 1 species
GACGAACGCUGGCGGCGUGCUUAACACAUGCAAGUCGAACGGUGAAGCUCCAGCUUGCUGGAGUGGAUCAGUGGCGAACGGGUGAGUAACACGUGAGCAACCUGCCCCUGACUCUGGAAUAAGCGCUGGAAACGGCGUCUAAUACUGGAUACGAGAAGGGUCCGCAUGGGCACUUUCUGGAAAGUUUUUCGGUUGGGGAUGGGCUCGCGGCCUAUCAGCUUGUUGGUGAGGUAAUGGCUCACCAAGGCGACGACGGGUAGCCGGCCUGAGAGGGCGACCGGCCACACUGGGACUGAGACACGGCCCAGACUCCUACGGGAGGCAGCAGUGGGGAAUAUUGCACAAUGGGCGAAAGCCUGAUGCAGCGACGCAGCGUGAGGGAUGACGGCCUUCGGGUUGUAAACCUCUUUCAGCAGGGAAGAAGCGAAAGUGACGGUACCUGCAGAAGAAGCACCGGCUAACUACGUG